GCCCGGCUAGCUCAAUCGGUAGAGCGUGAGACUCUUACUCAGAUAUGAAGAAUCUCCGAUUUAAAAAAUCUCAAGGUUGUGGGUUCGACCCCCACGUCGGGCU